GGGUCUUUGUUUUUGGUGUUUUAGAGUCGGUGAAGGCUUUAAAGGAAGUAGGCAGCUGGAACUCGGCUAUGGCGGGGUUGAAAAGCCCGGACGUUUGAGAGCUGAGACUUGCCAGUUCCCAUAGGCCAAGCCAGGCGUCUGCACCCCGUUCUCUUGGCUCCGACGAUGGAGUCUUGCUCUGUCACCCAGACUGGAGUACAGUGGUGUGAUCUCAGCUCACUGCAACCUCCACUUCCCAGGUUCAAGCAAUUCUCCUGCCCCAGCUUCCCAAGCAGUUGGGACUACAGAAUAUGCUCUCCAUGAGGGAGCUCUUCAGGACCUACCACAAUGGCUGGCACUAGAGAAGGGCACAAAAUUGAAGAACAGUGAAGACAAAAGCAAUAAGAUAAUUAAGGCCAUGUGAGACAGCAACAAUAUCAGCUGAAUGUCACCCUUUAUCGAGUUGGUCUCACUCUGUCGCCCAGGCUGGAGUGCAGUGGUUCAGUCUGAGCUCCGUGCAGCCUCAACCUCCCCAGGCUCAUGUGAUCCUCGCACGUCAGCUUCCAGAGUAGCUGGAACCACAGCCUGGAGUACAGGGUGUGACCAUAGCUCCACACGGCCUCAAAACUCCUGGGCUCAAGCGAUCCUCCUGCCUCAGGCUCCCAAGCGGCUAGAACUACAGGUCUUAGUGGUCACUCAUCCAACCUCCUCAUUCCUCACUGGCCCACAUCAGAUGAGUCAGUUCCUUCAUCAGUGAUGGCACAGUGAUUGCAGGGAACGCUCAGCCUCCUUGGCUCUGAUUCUGCCUUAACGGAAGGGAGCCCUUCUGACUUGACCUCAUGGGUGCCAUCGAGUGUGGUUCCAGCUCCGCAUGUUCCUGACUACUGCACAAGUCUGGGAGGUGAGGGAUGUGGGAGACACAGCUCUCAGAGCCUCUUACAGAAACAACGAGCCUGGUGCUGCGGUGGCAAGAAACAGACACUGACCCCGACCCCAAGGGAAAUUCACAAGAAGGCUAUGGAGUCCCUCACAACAUGGAAGGGGAAAUUGAAGAGCCUGGUCUGGAAAAGACAGAAAACAGGGAGGCCGUGGGGACCUAGAAGCUGGAACCAACUGAGAGUCUCAUCUGGCCACACUGUAAAGAUGUGUCAGCCCCAACCUCUUCUUGGCUUUUGCUUCCUCCAUUCAAGGGUCAGAGUCUGAGUGCCUAGGUGGGCCCAGAGCCUUCCUUCUCCAGCCUCCCUGCUGCCCCAGAGAGGACAAACACCAUUUCUGACUCCCCUGCAUACUCAAGAGUGCCAUUCUCAGGAUCACAGUAGAGGCAGGACUGAGAAAACAAGUGCUCAUGAGGCUGAUGGGCUGCCUUGGCUUUCUCAGCAGCAGAAGAAUUCUGGGAUGCUCACCUCCCAGAAGACCCUCCACAGUUCCCAAGAGCCUCUUCAUCCAUGAUGAGGGUGACAAAACUUCUCUGAGUCUCAGACAGCUUUGAGACUGGGAUGGAAACAGAGGAUUGCAUAAGUUUCAGGGGGCUGCUGGACCCCCAGUCCUGAAUCCUGACUCUGGGACACCUUCUCUAGCCCGUGUCUGCCUGGCUCAGCUGCAGGCCUCAUACACUGCCUCCCUAGGACCUGCAGUUGAACCAUUCCAUGCUCAUGGACACGUGGAUUACACCAGCAGGGCCCUAGGCCUCUUCCUAACCUCAGAAUUUUUUUUUUUUUCCUAAAAGGGCAAGGCACUAUUUUAGUCACUGUUUUGCAGGGAGAAAAAAAAGUCCUGUUUAUCCUUAUGAUUCAUGUUGGUGGUUUUUGGAUAAUGUUGUAUUGAUUCAUGACGACUCACUCAGCAUCUGGUAUGAAUUAAAUGAGACUUUCUCUUUUUGACAGUAAAA